UACGGAGGGGGCUAGCGUUGUUCGGAAUUACUGGGCGUAAAGCGCACGUAGGCGGCUUUGUAAGUUAGAGGUGAAAGCCCGGGGCUCAACUCCGGAAUUGCCUUUAAGACUGCAUCGCUAGAAUUGUGGAAAGGUAAGUGGAAUUCCGAGUGUAGAGGUGGAAUUCGUAGAUAUUCGGAAGAACACCAGUGGCGAAGGCGACUUACUGGACACAUAUUGACGCUGAGGUGCGAAAGCGUGGGGAGCAAACAGG
rnacentral:rRNA from 1 species